GCUCCGCUAGCUCAGUGGCAGAGCGCAGGUUUGAAGCACCUGGCGUCGGAGGUUCGACUCCUCCGCGGAGCA
rnacentral:tRNA from 2 species